rnacentral:SRP_RNA from 1 species
GCUGGGCGUGGUGGCGCAUGCCUGUAAUCCCAGCUACUCAGGAGGCUGAGGCAGGAGAAUUGCUUGAACCCGGGAGGCAGAGGUUGCAGUGAGCCAAGAUCAGGCCAUUGCACUCCAGCCUGGGUGACAGAGCAAGACUCUGUCUCAG